CAAAAAAAAAAAAAAAAAAAAAAAAAAAAAAAAAAAAAAAAAAAAA
rnacentral:ribozyme from 13 species